rnacentral:tRNA from 1 species
UCCUUAGUGGCUCAGAUGGUAAGGAAUCGACCUGCAAUGUGGAAGACCUGGGUUCGAUCCCUGGCUGGGGAA